rnacentral:rRNA from 1 species
UACGUAGGUGACAAGCGUUGUCCGGAUUUACUGGGUGUAAAGGGCGCGUAGGCGGAUGUGCAAGUCAGUCGUGAAAUACCGGGGCUCAACCCCGGGGCUGCGAUUGAAACUGCACACCUUGAGUAUCGGAGAGGAAAGCGGAAUUCCUAGUGUAGCGGUGAAAUGCGUAGAUAUUAGGAGGAACACCAGUGGCGAAGGCGGCUUUCUGGACGACAACUGACGCUGAGGCGCGAAAGUGUGGGGAGCAAACA